rnacentral:rRNA from 1 species
UACGGAGGGUGCGAGCGUUGUCCGGAAUCACUGGGCGUAAAGGGCGCGUAGGCGGCGCGGGCAGUCAACGGUGAAAGCUUGGGGCUCAACCCCGAGUCGGCCGUCGAUACUCCCGUGCUUGAGCACUGUAGAGGCAGGUGGAAUUCCGGGUGUAGCGGUGGAAUGCGUAGAGAUCCGGAAGAACACCAAUUGCGAAGGCAGCUGGCUACAGGUGGAUUGACACUGAGGCACGAAAGCGUGGGGAUCAAACAGG